rnacentral:rRNA from 1 species
CAAUAGCGUAUAUUAAAGUUGUUGCAGUUAAAAAGCUCGUAGUUGAAUUUUUGCUUGCCGCCGAUGUCGGAACUUCCGUACGUUCGGCGGCGUGCAUCCUUGGGUGGAACCUGUGUGGCAUUAGGUUGUCGUGCAGGGGAUGCUCAUCGUUUACUGUGAAAAAAUUAGAGUGUUCAAAGCAGGCUUAUGCCGUUGAAUAUAUUAGCAUGGAAUAAUAAGAUAGGACCUUGGUACUAUUUUGUUGGUUUGCGCACCGAGGUAAUGAUUAACAGGGACAGUUGGGGGUAUUCGUAUUCCAUUGUCAGAGGUGAAAUUCUUGGAUUUCUGGAAGGCGAACUACUGCGAAAGCAUUUACCAAGGAUGUUUNCAUUA